UUAAAGGGUCCGCAGCCUGACUCUGCGGAGUAAGGGGGGGUGGAGCGGGGGAGUCGGCCUCGCCAGUGCGCAUGCGCGAGGCCCAAGCCGCCGCUUGGGUCACAGUGAAAGCCACCGUUGCCCGGGGAUGGGUCCCUGACACUUGGCGAAGUAGGAGCCCUGUGUGAUCGUGCGUCUGAGUCUGGGCUGAGACCAGUCCUGGUCAGGGCAGUUACCAGGACGGUUUCCGGAGGCCGGGAUUCGCGGAGGGUCCACCAGCAGGAAGAAACGCCAGGAGGAAGAAAACUCAGACAGAUCGCCGGCGAGGCAGCGCGGCAUCCCAGCCUCAGGCGUGCGCGGACGGUGUGCGGCCUCUCCCCGCGUCUCUGCCUGGGUCGUGUGGCCGGUUGGCAGUCGUCGUCCCGGCAGUUCCAGUUUGGGGGUCUGU
rnacentral:lncRNA from 1 species